GAUAAACGCUGGCGGCGUGCUUAACACAUGCAAGUCGAACGAAGUUUUUCUUUCGGGAGGAACUUAGUGGCGGACGGGUGAGUAACGCGUGGGUAACCUGCCCUGUACAGGGGGACAACAGCUGGAAACGGCUGCUAAUACCGCAUAAGCCCUUAGCACUGCAUGGUGCAUAGGGAAAAGGAGCAAUCCGGUACAGGAUGGACCCGCGUCUGAUUAGCCAGUUGGCAGGGUAACGGCCUACCAAAGCGACGAUCAGUAGCCGAUCUGAGAGGAUGUACGGCCACAUUGGGACUGAGACACGGCCCAGACUCCUACGGGAGGCAGGAGUGGGGAAUAUUGCACAAUGGAGGAAACUCUGAUGCAGCGACGCCGCGUGAGUGAAGAAGUAUUUCGGUAUGUAAAGCUCUAUCAGCAGGAAAGAAAAUGACGGUACCUGACUAAGAAGCACCGGCUAAAUACGUG
rnacentral:rRNA from 1 species